CAGUAGCCACGGGAAUACGAAGGGUGCAAGCGUUAAUCGGAAUUACUGGGCGUAAAGCGCGCGUAGGUGGUUUGGUAAGAUGGAUGUGAAAUCCCCGGGCUCAACCUGGGAACUGCAUCCAUAACUGCCUGACUAGAGUACGGUAGAGGGUGGUGGAAUUUCCUGUGUAGCGGUGAAAUGCGUAGAUAUAGGAAGGAACACCAGUGGCGAAGGCGACCACCUGGACUGAUACUGACACUGAGGUGCGAAAGCGUGGGGAGCAAACAGGAUUAGAUACCCCUGUAGUCCCUGUCUCUUAUAA
rnacentral:rRNA from 1 species